rnacentral:tRNA from 1 species
GGUUCCAUAGUGUAGCUGUUAGCACGUCUGCUUUACAUGCAGAAGGUCAUGGGUUUGUGCCACAGAUGGAGCCA